ensembl:lncRNA
CUAAAACUGUAAGAGAGUUCCUGACUGUGACCCUUAACAGUCAUUCUCUUACCUUAUAACAAACCUAGAAAUGAGAAAAUGCUUGAGCAGAUUGGCCUGGUGGUGUGGGAGGAUGAAUGGAUUCUUGGGGAUAUUGGGGGUUAGCUUGAGCAGCACACCGAUGAUCCAGUAGCUUCAGUGAUCUCAGCCAGGAAGCUUAAAAUAGACCAGCAAGUGGAUCUGAGAUGUUUUUAGCAAGCUGGUUGCUGACUUACUGUGGCCUUUGCCAAAAUCAGCAAUCAGAGAAGGAAGAGAGGCUGGUUUACCACAUUUCUCCUUAGCUCCUGUUUCCCCACAGGUCUCCAUUAGGAUAUCAGCAAGUAAUUACUCAGGAUUGAACUCCGAACCGAACCCUUGCACUUGCGAGGCAGGUGGUGGAACCACUGAGCUAAAUCCCUGGCCCAGCCCAAAAGGGCCAUACAGAUGACCAGUGCCAACUUGGUGCAAGAGCAAACCUGAAAUUUUCAUAUCACUGGAUUUUCUGCAUGGCGCAGGUUGCAUUAGAAUGAGCUGGAAGCCCAAGUGAAAUAGAAC